UUCAUUUACUGCAGCAGACUAUGUUGUUGCUCAGCGGCUUAGGCGGAGGUUAAUGUAUUUCCAUAUGGAGAUUUUCGAGAAUGUGGAUAUCAUUGUGACACCUACAACUAGGAAUAUUCCUAUCACCAUUUCUUAUACUUCCUUCUUUAUUAGCAUGACACCACCCAGAAUUCCACCAAGUGCUAUUAAAGUUGGGGAGACUGAUUUGC